CAGGUUUACCUGUGUGACUGCGUACCUUUUGUAUAAUGGGUCAGCGACUUAUAUUCUGUAGCAAGGUUAACCGAAUAGGGGAGCCGGAGGGAAACCGAGUCUUAAUUGGGCGUUAAGUUGCAGGGUAUAGACCCGAAACCCGGUGAUCUAGCCAUGGGCAGGUUGAAGGUUGGGUAACACUAACUGGAGGACCGAACCGACUAAUGUUGAAAAAUUAGCGGAUGACCUGUGGCUGGGGGUGAAAGGCCAAUCAAACCGGGAGAUAGCUGGUUCUCCCCGAAAGCUAUUUAGGUAGCGCCUCGUGAAUUCAUCUCCGGGGGUAGAGCACUGUUUCGGCUAGGGGGCCAUCCCGGCUUACCAACCCGAUGCAAACUGCGAAUACCGGAGAAUGUUAUCACGGGAGACACACGGCGGGUGCUAACGUCCGUCGUGAAGAGGGAAACAACCCAGACCGCCAGCUAAGGUCCCAAAGUCAUGGUUAAGUGGGAAACGAUGUGGGAAGGCCCAGACAGCCAGGAUGUUGGCUUAGAAGCAGCCAUCAUUUAAAGAAAGCGUAAUAGCUCACUGGUCGAGUCGGCCUGCGCGGAAGAUGUAACGGGGCUAAACCAUGCACCGAAGCUGCG
rnacentral:rRNA from 1 species